ACCACUUCUUGCUACAAUAUUCCUGUAGAUAACUUGGGUUUUUUUCUUUUGUUCUUUAAUAUCUGCAUUAAAACCUUCGUAAUUCAUGACUGAAGAAAUUCAGAUUUCAGAAAUAAGAAAAUAUUCUCAAAAAAUUUUAAAACUUUAGUAAUAGAAUCUGCUUACAAUCUAUGCAGUGUAGUCUAAGGGGGGAGGGGAAGAAAAACCUGUCAAAAAUUAGGUAGAAGAUCCUUGAAUGGCAAUUAGCGUGCCCAGAAUUUAUUUUAUGUGCAACGCAGUUGCAAGUAGCUGCUUCUUAUUAAAUGAAAAUCCUGUAUUAUGUACUUCAGGAACAUUCCGACUAAUGAGUAUGUAAUGUCCUUAGUGUAACACAGAACUUCUUUUUGUGUUCACAACCACAAAAUGCUGGAAACUUGACAAAUGAUAUCAUUUAAGACAGAUGCCUGCCUUAGGGACCUGUUUUUUGGCUUCCUGUUUCUGGUUUUUAUUUCAAUAACAUUUGUAAUUGCCACAGGAUCUGUACCUGCGUAGUGUUUUAACUCCUUCACAUAUGCCCCAAUGCAUUAACUCCUUGGGUAGGUACCCAGGAAUAUGUUUUUUUUCUUUUUCCUUUUUCCUCCCCAGCUGGUGUGUUCUUCCUGCCUCUCACAGGCGCAGCUACACACAUAAAUUAAAGCUGGAUCUUAUUAGACCAGAUGAAAUGGUAACCUCAAAGGGGGUAAACACUUACUGCACUUGCUGUGUUUUACUAGUGCAGAAGUACAUCUAGACCAGGCCCAAGGCAAAACUUGAGAAACUGUGAGGUACAGCCUGCUGGUUCCAGGCGCACAAUGUCUUGAUCUCAGUUAUACUUUUCAAUGUAUAUUUCCCCAUUAAACUCACAUUCUUUACUUAGGUUAUAGGGCAGGAGAGUUUUUGAUGUCACUUCAGUUGAUGCUGUGUAUAAGGGGCAUUUUGGCAGUGCUGGUUCAACACAAGUUGUGCCUCCAGCAGAGCCUGCUUCAUGUAAAGCCCUUAUCACAGGACAAGAGCAGUUUUUAGCUCCCCAGGCACUCAGCAUGGAUCCUGGCAGACUGCAAGAAACCUUCCCACAAUCCAUAACAGCCCAGAGGUUUUGGUGGUGCUUGAUAGCAUGUUCUUUCUCUCUUUUUUUGUAGGUCUUGCAAAAAAAAAAAAAAAAUUAAAAAUGGGCUGUGUGCAAGAAGCUUGCAUGAGUCUUUGUAGGAGAAUAUUCACGGAGCCAUUUCACUGAAUACUGCAAGGUCCAGUAAUAACAAAACAGCCUUGGAAAGAGCAUGAGCUCUUGGCACCUAUUCUGCAGAGCCAUUUUCACUGUCUAAUGCUGCUCUGCUGUACAUUUUGGUACAUAGGUAAAGAUCCAAGAAAAAAUUUUGGCCCUGGCCAUGGAAUAUUUACUCAAUCUGAAAUACCUGCCUUCUCCUUCUGCAACUAACAGGCUGACCAGAGGCAGUGGAAUGUACACCAGAAAAGAAUAGAACCAGAGGGAAAGCAAGCUGUCAAGAGAAUAGUGUGCUGAAGAGGAAAAAUGUAAAACAUGACUUCUAUUUACCAUGAUUAAUAUUUAAAAUUAACAUGUUUGUCAUGGAAUAUAUUAAUAUGUAUGUUUUCCCAUUAUGUAGAUAUUUUCUUAUAUUACUUAUUAGAAAGGGAUACAAUCACAAUGAUGGGGCAAGAAUGCCACUUAAAAAUUAGGUGAUGCCCAGUCAACAUAAUAUAACCACUACAGUGUCAUUUCUGAUUUAGAUGUGGUGAUAUCAGUAUAAUUGCCGCUGGGAAGAAAUUAAAAUGGCUGUUAAUGAUAAAUAAAAUGACAAGAAGGAGGAUCCUCCUUCACAUAUAAUUCCAAGCAAAAUAUAGCUGCUGAAUUUCUUUGAGCACUUGGUGCUGUUCAUUGAUAAAGAGGAAACAAGCAGGUUUUGUGCAGCUGCCUGGACAAAAGAGCUGCCCUGUCCUUUCCCAAGCCCAAAUGUAGACACCAUAGGUCUAAAAAGAUUUCACCCCCUAUUUCCACUCAGGGGAGGUGUAAUAGUGAAGCUCACAUGAAGUGACUAUUAACACUAUUCCAGCAGAAAGCACCGUACAUAACAAAGAGAAAGUUAAGCAAAAUGAGGAUAGAGGCAGGGAGACAACAAUGCAUGUGGAUACUUUACAAAACCUCCAAAUAUUCCUGCCUUGUCUCUGUCACCAUAGGCAGCCUUAGCUCACGGAUCAAAAGACCUUCAUACAUUUGUUUUAUAUCAUAAAUGUGUCAAGAAUGAGCUACACAAAGCAUCAUUCACCCACUGCACAUGGCUUGUUAGCCUAGUCGAGAGCAUCUUUCAACUCAUUCACACAUUAAAAGCCAGGAAACCAACAUUUGAUUACUAGUUCUAGCAUUAAGAUCAAAGACCAUAUCUUCCCAUCUGUGAAAAGCAGGAGCCAAAUUGCUUUCUCCUCUUUCUGCAUUUACAGAAGUAUUGAAGAGUCAAAACACAAAAUCAACGUUGUACUCCACAUCCCAUGAAUAACACAGUUCCAGCCUAUAAAAACACAAGGCAGCCACUAUAACUUACAGACAUUUUCUUGGAAAGAAGUAUAAGCAAAUUUGUAGUCACAUCUUCACAGUACUCCCAGUCUGCAGUUAUCCAAAGCUCAGAGUGGCUUGAUCCACAGGUGUUAUCCUAGUGUAUAAAAUUGCAACACCUCUUAAGAGGGAAAAUACCUGCCAUUAUACUCUUCUAUACUCGUAUACCUGCCAUUUACUCUUCUCUUGAUAUCUUCAAAAUCAGAUGGUGGUGUUCAGCUUAGAUUAAAUGAAAGCACUAACUUAAAAUCAUAAAAACUAAACUGAAACAAGUGGGGUAAGUCAAUGUUAUUCCAUUGUCGCAGUUAGGCUUUUACUUACCUGUUGGUCAAAGAAGCUUGAAAAUAUAAAUAAAUAAAAAUCAGCCUUAACCUGGAGAAUAAUAUGUCCACUUU